UUGUAAAAGAAUCUAUAUUCAUUUUUGGGGUAUGAACCCAAUAGCUUAGGUAUUAGCUUAUUUUACA
rnacentral:tRNA from 1 species